rnacentral:piRNA from 1 species
UUACAUAUAGCUACUUCUUGGCCACCCUC